UAAAAUAUGGAAUGCUUCAUGAAUUUGCAUGUCAUCCUUGAACAGGGGCCAUGCUAAUCUUCUCUAUAUCAUUCCAAAUUUAGUAUAUGUGCUGCCAAAGUGAACAG
rnacentral:snRNA from 1 species